CUGGAGGGGAAAAGGAGAUAGGUUCUUGCAGUGGGUGCUGAAGCAGGGCACCAGGAAGGAGUAUUCUUUGUUCAGCAGUGAGAAAGGCAAAAGGGAAAGUCUUUGGCAGCUGUGUCCUCUGGUCACAAUGGAGCAUUGCGGCCUUUAAAGCAUGAUUAAAUGAUACAGCUUCAGGGCAUCUGUCAGAAGACUAUACUUUAAAAGGAAGCUGGGCGCACGUUAACUAUUCAAGAUUCCGAGGGGAAAUUACGACUCUUUGAGGUGUAUUGCAUUCAAGACAAAGGCUUUGCAGAUAGAAGAAUCAGCCUUCCCCUCCCUGCAGGUGUGUAACAGUGGCAUCACAAUAAUGCAACACACUGAGCUAAGCGAUGGCUCUGAGAUCCAGUGGAAAACGGUGAUGGCUAAAAGCAGCUGUAAAAACUGAGUGCAGAUGGAUGGACGCAUUGUGCCCAAAUACUGUAUAAUGUGCCUUGUUCUGCUGUCACUUAAAACCAUUUUACGCUGCUCUAUUUCCACUUACUUCAGUGGAAUCACUCCAUAUUUAGGUAAACCGUGUAAACCAGUGAGAGCGGAUCCAAGUCCAAUGUGUCUAGGAGCACUGAGGGUGGUUCACUCAACAGCGAUACCUGCUACACCUGCCUCCAAAACGUGUCAUGUUUGCUCCUUGGUGAUGCCUGUGGGUGUCUGGGGAGAAGUGUCUGGCCAGAGCCCCACCUCCCGCCCACCCAGACUCAACCCCUUUGGGCUAUGCAGUGCUGCCGGUAGUGCUAGCAGGCCUUGCUCUUCCACUCGGAGCACAAAGAGCCCCGUUAUGGUUGCCUCUUGUGUCAGGGCACUGUUGGAAAGGGACUACUAGCACCCUCUCUUUCCACCCACCAGCAUGGAAAGCCACAAGUUAGCCUUAUGUUUGCCACCUGUUUAUUGAGCAUGCAAAGAACACACAAGACAUCUAACAUAUGCAGAAGAACAACUUCAGUCGAAAAGACGCUUAGCACAGCUCCCACUGAGUUGGCUAAGAGGGAAGCUUUUUAUUAUUGUUAUUAUUUAUUUACUGCAGAUGGACUUCCCAAGAGUUUCACAAACAUUUAACCUACAGGCCAGAUUUGGUGGGUGGACUGGGGAUACAUGGGAGGGGUGAGUAGUGAGGGGGAGCUCAACUAUAUUGAUUACAUCCACUCUCGUGCACUGUUGCCAACUCUCUCGAUUUCAUUGUGUCUCUCUCAGUGUAUUAUAUUCCAAAAAGCCUCAGCUCAAGUCUGGUGAUUACAGGAGAAUCUCAGCUUUCAUUACACACAAAAAAAGCCAAUUUCUAGCCCUCACAGCUGUAGAGAAAUCUUGGAAACGUGAUGCAAGUAUGAUCUAAAGGCUUAGAAAACAGAAGAUAAAUAAAAAGGACCCCAAAUGCAUUACUCUCAUGAUUUUUAAGCUAAUCUUGUGAUAUGUUUUGGAGGAAUGACACAAUUUUUGAAAGUUUGGGGUUGACCUCACUGCUGUGUCCAGCCAUUAGUUGACAUGCACAACAGUAUGAAUGCUAUGCUCCCCUCUUUUCCACAGAAGAGGAGCAGAGGGGUGAAAAGAGGUACCAUAGUAAGUCAUUAUUCCCUGCAAAUUAAUUUAACAGCAAAUCCUAUCUUCUUGAAUAGGGUUGGGUUAAUAAAAAAUGGGAGACUCGCAUACUUUCUGUUUUAGCUUCCUUUCCACUAUUAAUAGGCCCGAAUAAAGAAUGAAUCCUUUCCAUUUGCUUAAAAAGUUUCAAAUGUCAGAAGUGAAUUUUAGCACAGGCAGUGUGAUGUGUGUAAAUUAUCCCCAAAUCCAGUGUCCCUUAAUACAGUUGUCAGACAAGUACAUUGUAGGCAAAUUGCAAAAA